rnacentral:lncRNA from 1 species
AAUCGGAUGGUUCUAACUCAACAUUGAAAGAUGAAGACCGUUCAAUUUCAGGAGAUGCAAUUGGAGGAUUGGGUACCGUAGGAGUUGGAGCACCCUCGGAUUUGUCGCUCUUUGUAAAGAAAGAUAAUAAGGUUCUUCCUUUCUUGGCAAGAGGUCGAUUUGGUUCCAUAUUAAAAUCUAAAAGCAUAAAAAAAAAAUCAAAACACUUCAUUAUCCCAACAAUCCAAAAACAAUCCACUAACAACAUUUUAACCACUUAUCUAACCCUUCAAAAAUAUUAUAACUAGUUAAAAAUUCAACACCAAAUCUAAGAAUCAUCAUAAACUCAUACUCCAAUGUAAAAUAUAAUUCAAGGUGAUCAAGAUCAAGCAAAAUACCUGCUUAGUACUUACAUAGUUUGUUGCC